GAUGAACGCUGGCGGCAUGCCUUACACAUGCAAGUCGAACGGUAACAGGUCUUCGGAUGCUGACGAGUGGCGAACGGGUGAGUAAUACAUCGGAACGUGCCUAGUAGUGGGGGAUAACUACUCGAAAGAGUGGCUAAUACCGCAUGAGAUCUACGGAUGAAAGCAGGGGAUCGCAAGACCUUGUGCUACUAGAGCGGCCGAUGGCAGAUUAGGUAGUUGGUGGGAUAAAAACUUACCAAGCCGACGAUCUGUAGCUGGUCUGAGAGGACGAUCAGCCACACUGGGACUGAGACACGGCCCAGACUCCUACGGGAGGCAGCAGUGGGGAAUUUUGGACAAUGGGCGAAAGCCUGAUCCAGCAAUGCCGCGUGCAGGAUGAAGGCCUUCGGGUUGUAAACUGCUUUUGUUCGGAACGAAAAGCCCCGGGUUAAUACCCUGGGGUCAUGACGGUACCGUAAGAAUAAGCACCGGCUAACUACGUGCCAGCCGCCGCCGUAA
rnacentral:rRNA from 1 species